GACGAACGCUGGCGGCGUGCUUAACACAUGCAAGUCGAACGGAAAGGCCCCUUUGGGGGUACUCGAGUGGCGAACGGGUGAGUAACACGUGAGUAACCUGCCCUUGACUUCGGGAUAACUUCAGGAAACUGGGGCUAAUACCGGAUAGGAAUCCUUGCUGCAUGGUGGGGGUUGGAAAGCUUCGGCGGUUUUGGAUGGACUCGCGGCUUAUCAGCUUGUUGGUGGGGUAGUGGCUUACCAAGGCUUUGACGGGUAGCCGGCCUGAGAGGGCGACCGGCCACAUUGGGACUGAGAUACGGCCCAGACUCCUACGGGAGGCAGCAGUGGGGAAGAUUGCACAAGGGGCGGAAGCCUGAUGCAGCAACGCCGCGUGCGGGAGGACGGCCUUCGGGUUGUAAACCGCUUUCAGCAGGGGCGAAGCUUGUGGUGACGGUACCUGCAGAAGAAGCACCGGCUAACUACGUG
rnacentral:rRNA from 1 species